rnacentral:tRNA from 1 species
GCCAAUUUAGCUCAGGUGGUAGAGCAACUGAUUCGUAAUCAGUAGGCCGCCAGUUCGAGUCUGGCAAUUGGCACCA